rnacentral:rRNA from 1 species
GAUGAACGCUGGCGGCGUGCUUAACACAUGCAAGUCGAGCGAGAAGUUUUGAAAAGAUUCUUCGGAUGAAAUUUAAAAUGGAAAGCGGCGGACGGGUGAGUAACGCGUAGGCAACCUGCCCCAUACAAAGGGAUAGCAUUUGGAAACGAAUAUUAAUACCUUAUGAAACUUAACUAGUGCAUGCUAGGUAGGUCAAAGAUUUAUCGGUAUGGGAUGGGCCUGCGUCUGAUUAGCUAGUUGGUGAGGUAACGGCUCACCAAGGCGACGACCAGUAGCCGACCUGAGAGGGUGAACGGCCACAUUGGAACUGAGACACGGUCCAAACUCCUACGGGAGGCAGCAGGGGGGAAGAUUGCACAAUGGGGGAAACCCUGAUGCAGCAACGCCGCGUGAACGAUGAAGGCCUUUGGGUCGUAAAGUUCUGUUCUAGGUGAUGAAAACUGACAGUAACCUAGGAGAAAGCCCCGGCUAACUCCGUG